rnacentral:rRNA from 1 species
UACGAAGGGGGCUAGCGUUGCUCGGAAUUACUGGGCGUAAAGCGCACGUAGGCGGUCUUUUAAGUCGGGGGUGAAAUCCUGGAGCUCAACUCCAGAACUGCCUUCGGUACUGGAAGACUUGAGUCCGGGAGAGGUGAGUGGAACUGCGAGUGUAGAGGUGAAAUUCGUAGAUAUUCGCAAGAACACCAGUGGCGAAGGCGGCUCACUGGCCCGGUACUGACGCUGAGGUGCGAAAGCGUGGGGAGCAAACAGG